rnacentral:rRNA from 1 species
GAUGAACGCUGGCGGCGUGCUUAACACAUGCAAGUCGAACGAAGCACCUUGAUUUGAUUCUUCGGAUGAAGAUCUUGGUGACUGAGUGGCGGACGGGUGAGUAACGCGUGGGUAACCUGCCUCAUACAGGGGGAUAACAGUUAGAAAUGACUGCUAAUACCGCAUAAGACCACAGCACCGCAUGGUGCAGGGGUAAAAACUCCGGUGGUAUGAGAUGGACCCGCGUCUGAUUAGGUAGUUGGUGGGGUAACGGCCUACCAAGCCGACGAUCAGUAGCCGAGCUGGGAGGGUGACCGGCCACAUUGGGACUGAGACACGGCCCAAACUCCUACGGGAGGCAGCAGUGGGGAAUAUUGCACAAUGGGGGAAACCCUGAUGCAGCGACGCCGCGUGAGCGAUGAAGUAUCUCGGUAUGUAAAGCUCUAUCAGCAGGGAAGAAAAUGACGGUACCUGACGAAGAAGCACCGGCUAAAUACGUG